rnacentral:rRNA from 1 species
GAUGAACGCUGGCGGCGUGCCUAAUACAUGCAAGUCGAGCGAACAGACGAGGAGCUUGCUCCUCUGACGUUAGCGGCGGACGGGUGAGUAACACGUGGAUAACCUACCUAUAAGACUGGGAUAACUUCGGGAAACCGGAGCUAAUACCGGAUAAUAUAUUGAACCGCAUGGUUCAAUAGUGAAAGACGGUUUUGCUGUCACUUAUAGAUGGAUCCGCGCCGCAUUAGCUAGUUGGUAAGGUAACGGCUUACAAAGGCAACGGUGCGUAGCCGACCUGAGAGGGUGAUCGGCCACACUGGAACUGAGACACGGUCCAGACUCCUACGGGAGGCAGCAGUAGGGAAUCUUCCGCAAUGGGCGAAAGCCUGACGGAGCAACGCCGCGUGAGUGAUGAAGGUCUUCGGAUCGUAAAACUCUGUUAUUAGGGAAGAACAAAUGUGUAAGUAACUAUGCACGUCUUGACGGUACCUAAUCAGAAAGCCACGGCUAACUACGUG